rnacentral:rRNA from 1 species
UUAUGGGUUAAAGGGAGCGUAGGGGAUGUAUAAGUCAGUGUGAAAGUUGCGGCUCAACCGUAAAAUGCAGUUGAUACUGUAUGUCUUGAGUGUACAAGAGGUGGGCGGAAUUCGUGGUGUAGCGGUGAAAUGCUUAGAUAUCACGAAGAACUCCGAUUGCGAAGGCAGCUCACUAGAGUACAACUGACACUGAGGCUCGAAAGUGUGGGUAUCAAACAGGAUUAGAUACCCUGGUAGUCCACACAGUAAACGAUGAAUACUCGCUGUUGCGAUAUACAGUAAGCGGCCAAGCGAAAGCAUUAAGUAUUCCACCUGGGGAGUACGCCGGCAACGGUGAAACUCAAAGGAAUUGACGGGGGCCCGCACAAGCGGAGGAACAUGUGGUUUAAUUCGAUGAUACGCGAGGAACCUUACCCAGGCUUAAAUUGCAGUGGAAUAUGGAUGAAAGUUCAUAGCCUUCGGGCCGCUGUGAAGGUGCUGCAUGGUUGUCGUCAGCUCGUGCCGUGAGGUGUCGGCUUAAGUGCCAUAACGAGCGCAACCCUUAUCUUUAGUUACUAACAGGUCAUGCUGAGGACUCUAAAGAGACUGCCGUCGUAAGAUGUGAGGAAGGUGGGGAUGACGUCAAAUCAGCACGGCCCUUACGUCUGGGGCUACACACGUGUUACAAUGGGGGGUACAGAAGGCAGCUACACAGCGAUGUGAUGCUAAUCCCAAAAGCCUCUCUCAGUUCGGAUCGAAGUCUGCAACCCGACUUCGUGAAGCUGGAUUCGCUAGUAAUCGCGCAUCAGCCACGGCGCGGUGAAUACGUUCCCGGGCCUUGUACACACCGCCCGU